rnacentral:rRNA from 1 species
CAUCUCCUUAAGAAAAUGAUUUUAGGUUUAAUCUGCUCAGUGAGUUUUUUAAAUUGCCGCAGUAAUUUAACUGUGCAAAGGUAGCAUAAUAAAUUGUUCUUUUAUUGGGAACUUGAAUGAAUGAUUGGACAAGAAACUUUCUGUCUCACUAUAAAUAAUUUAAUUUUACUUGAAAGUUAAAAGGCUUUUAUGUUUUUAAGGGACAAGAAGACCCUGUAGAGUUUAUAUAUAAUUUUUUUUAUUAGGUUUGUAUUAUUUAUUUUUGUUAGGAAAAAUUAAAUUUGGCUGGGGUUGUUGAUAAAUUUAUUAAAAUUUAAUUUUUUUUUAUCAUUGAUUUAUGAAUGUAUUAUAUUGUGUUUUGAAUUUAUAUUAAAUUACCUCAGGGAUAACAGCGUAAUUUUUAUUUGAAGUUCUUAUUUUAAUAAAGGAUUGCGACCUCGAUGUUGGAUUAAAAUUUAAAUUUGAUGGAGAAAUUAAAUAUUUAAGUCUGUUCGACUUUUAAAAUUUUACAUGAUCUGAGU